rnacentral:SRP_RNA from 1 species
GCCGGGCGUGGUGGCGAGUGCCUGUAGUCCCAGCUACUCGGGAGGCUGAGGUGGGAGGAUCGCUUGAGCCCAGGAGUUCUGGGCUGUAGUGCGCUAUGCUGAUCGGGUGUCCGCACUAAGUUCGGCAUCAAUAUGGUGACCUCCCGGGAGCGGGGGACCACCAGGUUGCCUAAGGAGGGGGGAAACGGAGCAGGUCAAAACUCCCGUGCUGAUCAGUAGUGGGAUCGCGCCUGUGAAUAGCCACUGCACUCCAGCCUGGGCAACAUACCAAGACCCCGGUCUCU